AUUGAACGCUGGCGGCAUGCCUUACACAUGCAAGUCGAACGGUAACGCGGGGCAACCUGGCGACGAGUGGCGAACGGGUGAGUAAUGCAUCGGAACGUGCCCAGCAGUGGGGGAUAGCCCGGCGUAAGCCGGAUUAAUACCGCAUGAGACCUGAGGGUGAAAGCGGGGGAUCGCAAGACCUCGCGCUUUUGGAGCGGCCGAUGUCAGCUUAGCUAGUUGGUGGGGUAAAGGCCUACCAAGGCGACGAUCUGUAGCUGGUCUGAGAGGACGACCAGCCACACUGGGACUGAGACACGGCCCAGACUCCUUCGGGAGGCAGCAGUAGGGAAUCUUCGGCAAUGGGCGGAAGUCUGACCGAGCAACGCCGCGUGAGGGAAGAAGGUUGUCGGAUCGGAAAGCUCUGUUGUAAGAGAAGAACGAGUGUGAGAGUGGAAAGUUCACACUGUGACGGUAUCUUACCAGAAAGGGACGGCUAACUACGUG
rnacentral:rRNA from 1 species